AUUGAACGCUGGCGGCAGGCCUAACACAUGCAAGUCGAACGAGUGGCGGACGGGUGAGUAAUGUCUGGGAAACUGCCCGAUGGAGGGGGAUAACUCCUGGAAACGGUAGCUACUACCGCAUACCAUCGGAUGUGCCCAGAUGGGAUUAGCGAGUAGGUGGGGUAAUGGCUCACCUAGGCGACGAUCCCUAGCUGGUCUGAUAGGAUGACCAGCCACACUGGAACUCAGACAGGGUCCAGACUCCUACGGGAGGCAGCAGUGGGGAAUAUUGCACAAUGGGCGCAAGCCUGAUGCAGCCAUGCCGCGUGUGUGAAGAAGGCCUUCGGGGUGUAAAGCACUUUCAGCGGGGAGGCGUUACCCGCAGAAGAAGCACCGGCUAACUCCGUGCCAGCAGCCGCGGUAAUAC
rnacentral:rRNA from 1 species